rnacentral:rRNA from 1 species
GGGGGCCCGCACAAGCGGCGGAGCAUGCGGAUUAAUUCGAUGCAACGCGAAGAACCUUACCAAGGCUUGACAUACACCGGAAUCAUGCAGAGAUGUGUGCGUCUUCGGACUGGUGUACAGGUGGUGCAUGGUUGUCGUCAGCUCGUGUCGUGAGAUGUUGGGUUAAGUCCCGCAACGAGCGCAACCCUCGUUCCAUGUUGCCAGCACGUCAAGGUGGGGACUCAUGGGAGACUGCCGGGGUCAACUCGGAGGAAGGUGGGGAUGACGUCAAAUCAUCAUGCCCCUUAUGUCUUGGGCUUCACGCAUGCUACAAUGGCCGGUACAGAGGGUUGCGAAACCGUGAGGUGGAGCUAAUCCCAAAAAACCGGUCUCAGUUCGGAUUGGGGUCUGCAACUCGACCCCAUGAAGUCGGAGUCGCUAGUAAUCGCAGAUCAGCAACGCUGCAGUGAGUACGUUCCCGG